CGUCAUUUUUUCAGCUGGGCCUCUAAGGGGUCAGCCCCCUGCCUCUAGCUGCAGCACUUCCUCUGAUUUGCCCUAACGUCCUCUGAGCUUCCUGGGGGUCUGGAGUCUUUCUACUGCAGAAAUUUCACAAAGUUGGAAGUGUUUCCCUGCCUAGUAAUGCCAAGCUCACUGUGUCUUCAUGCCCUCCCUAAGGGUCUGAUCACUCUGAGACUUCUGAGGAUACCUUCUCACCACAGGAGCUGGAUAUGGUCCAGAGACACCAGAGAAAGCUAAAUCCUUGGCCAACUCUGAGAAAGCACAGGUGUGUCUGUGACCAUGCAGAUCAAGAUACCCUAGGAGAUGAUGGAGCAACCAUGGAAGGAACCCAGGCCCCUGCAUAAUCAUGGGAGCUGAGCCAUCCCACUGACCUGGACCAUUUACUUCUGAGUCUUCUAUAAGAACAACAAUAAUAAAAACUACAUUAUUUAAUCCACUGUAUUUGGCCAGGGAAGAGAUGGUUUCUUUGUUACUGUACCCUAACCUUUUUUUUCUAGCUACUACACAUAUUGAGCCUUUACUCUGUGCUGGGAAUUGUGUUAAGGGUUUUUCAUGCAUUCUCACAACAACCCUAUGUGUUAGGUACAAUUACUGAUUCAUUUGAGGGAUAGGGAAACUCAGGUUGCAAG